UCCAUCCUCUUCCUCUUCCUGAUGUCAUUGACCAGAGUUCCUCAAGUGCUCCUCUGCACUCUAGCAAGGCACGGAGUUUGACUUGUCUGCUGUCUCUGAUUGCAGCUCUGCAACCCUUCUCCUGCCUAUGAGAUGCUUCCUCCAGCACCACCUGUGCAUGGGCAGGCAGCCCACCAGCCUCAGCUUCAGAGCAAGGAGAAGACGGUUAAGAACAACAGCAGGGGCUAGAAUGGCUGUGAGAAGUUUCUUACAGCAUCAGCAAGGAGCUGAGAAUCACCUUUUAAAGUCUGCCUGCAGAGAAAGGACAGAAGAUUCAGUUAGACGUGAUUUCCAGAGCUAUCAAAUGGGAUACACACAUUCUGAGUGACGUGGAAGAAAAUAUUCCACAGCUAGAGGAGCUGGUCUGAGGCUGUGAAGAUGUGUGUAUGAUGAUGGAUCACCUGAAAGAUCACAGUCCAAGAAGGUCAGAAAGUCAUGUUACAGCUGUGUUAGGGAACAGCACUUUGCACGUGGUUACAACGUAGACCAGAGAAUGAGGGAUCCGAACAGUUCAUCUCCACUCCAGCCAGCUGGUCGGGACAUGUCAGCCUCUCUGAAACUCAGCUCACGGCCUCAUAAUGUGGUGAUAGGAAUCCUACCUACCUGCAGCACCGGGUCCCCAGCUCUACCCUGAAGGAAAACAUCUUCCAAGCUGAACUGAGAGCCGAAGGAUUUCCCUCGCCUUUUCCUUCAUGUUCCUGAAUCCCCAGAGGUUUGUCAUCAAACAUCCUCAUUCGUGACCCCCAAGGAAAAGGUCUUCUCAACAAGUCCUGUUUUAAUAACUCUUAUUGUCCCAACCUGCUUUCUGAAAAAGCAGAAGUGUAUUUAUGACCACACCUGUUCUGUAUCACCUGUCUGACUUUUCUUCAGUAGCCACCAAUGCUGUGACGUGAGUAUAUGUAGAAAACCCUUAGUUAUCAUUUCCUUUCUGAAACUGUGUCCUCUUCCUACCUUUUCUUCUUGAAGCUGAGCUCACAGUGCUCACUGAGGACAUGACUUCUGAUUUCUCUGGUGCAUAACGCGUCGGUAUUCUCUGUAUCCCGGCCUUUUGGCUCUGGGGCAAAUGUUUAAACACCACAGAUGCUUUGAGCAGAUGUGUCCCAGAGUUUGAUCACGCUGUGCUGAUUGAAAUGACCCGUGUGUUCUCAGGCUUCCUUCCCCUCGCCAAAUGUUAAUGUUUUUGUCCUCUGGGGCAAAUUAUUCCAAUCAGUACCGGAACUGAUGCAAUAUCAAUACAGGUACCAGCACCAGGUGUGAUACCAGAACCACUCAGGGCUGGAAAAGCCAGGCUGGCAAACUCACUUCUGUGCUGAUAAAACAUAGGGACAACUUCUUCCCAUUACUGAUAACAGAGAAUUGCCCGAACACAGAGAAAAUGAAAGAAAGUGCAGUGUGACUUCACCUGCUUGAAGGACACCUGUGUUGGCUGCAUUUGGAAGCUGGUAAUGCCCACAGAAGUAUUGAGGAAGAGCAGACUGAGUCCUGAUAGCAGCCCUGUGGGCAGAUCUGUGGAUCGUGUUUCAAACAGGUUUUUUUUUGGCUCUGAUGAGCACAUGGGAUUGAAACUUAUAAGAAGAGGAGAGUGGAUCUGGAAAAACAUGGACGGAGGGGAAACUUCUUCUCUCCACAGAAGUCCUUCAAGGUGUGACUGCUGCCUUUGAUUCCAGAGGAAGGUUUGUAAGGAACAGCUGUUGUUUAGAGGAGAUGAGGAGUUUUAAAAUGUGUGUAUUUGUUUUCAGCUAAACCUUCCUGCCUUCUUCCUCUUCCCAUUGCGGCCAUGCACAGCCCUCCUCCAUGCUUGUCUCCCUGGGUAGGAGCAUCAAAGUCUCAGAGACUGUCAAAGAAAAUGUAACGAAAACCUAUCAUUUGCCCACAGCUUUUAAGUCCGGUUUCAACUCUUCUGCUAAAACAUAAAAAUGCACAGCAGAGCUUUGCAAUACUUUCAAAGAAGACAGAAGUACUGUUUUUUCCUAUUUUCAGGGCUUUUUAGCUGAUUCCAUCAGGUGCCACAUUCCUACCUCUAAAGUGUUGUCAGUCAAAUCCAAAUUGAUUCUGCUGAGAUCCCCCUCCCAUGUUGUCAUUUUUUAGGUAGAAGGGCUGCUUCUCAGUCUCUUCUUUCCUGGAGACUCAACAGUUUCAGAAAUCAGUUGUUUGAAGAGGUCCCAAACAAACACCUGUGCCUAGGAACCUGAACUGGUCCUGUAAGCUUCCCAUGGUGAGACCUAGACUCUCCAAGGACAACUUGGUCUACCAAAGGUAUCUGUAGACGUCUGAAUUAUGAAAGGAUUGAGAGGAAACUCCAAACCUGUAUGACGUUGUUCUUGCAUUUGCUGACCAUCACAAGUAGCCAAUUCAGUCCUACUAUGGCUUGGAUCCUGUAUCUUGUAACCCUGGGCUCUGAACCUGCUGGUGAGCAGCUGCAAGUGGGAAAGAUGGUGCAAAACAAGGAGCACGACUGUUGGGCUAAGAAGAAAGCUUGGACACUUUCAGAAUUGUAAAGGAAAAUGGAAAGAACCUCAGAAACAUCACAUUCACUUUUAGUGAAUGUGUCACAUGGAAGAAUAAAUGAAGAUUAAAGAUAUUUAACUCCCUUAGUUACCCAGGGCACAAUUUCACCCUAAUGUACUGUGAUUCCGAUUUGCUAUGAAACCUUAGGCCACAAUAGAAAAGAAAAUGUUUUAUUACGGUCUUUUUUUGUAUUUUUAAUUUUUUUUUUCAGAUUUUCUUGCUCUAGCUGUGAACACCUGGAAACCCAGGCAGCAUCAGCAAAGCUCAGUGCUGUUCUUGUGCUCAUCAGCCCAUGAGAGAAGCUGACUGAAGACUGUGGUGACUGGACCACAACUGCCCCAGCAUAUUUAACUUCAAGAGAGAGUCAGCUGUUUUGUCAGCAUUCUUGCAGCAGCCUGAAUUGUACUUAAGUGGGCAAAUUAAGGGAAUAAGGGGCUCAUUUAGUGAUGCUGUAUGGAGAAUUCUGUCUCCUGCAGACCUGGCCAAUGUGAUCAGAAGAACUCACAGGUGAUAUUGGACCAAAAGUAUGUUCAGGCAAGUGGUUCUCUGUUGAUUUUGACUUGGGUCAUUGCUGCUCCCUUUUCCUUGUCAUGUCCUCCGCCUCCCUUGCUGUUUGGAUCUUUCUUCCCCUGUCUUUUGAGUUUCUGACUCCUUGCCUCAGAUCUAGGAUGUGCU